AUUGAACGCUGGCGGCAUGCUUUACACAUGCAAGUCGAACGGUAACAGGCCUUCGGGUGCUGACGAGUGGCGAACGGGUGAGUAAUGCAUCGGAACGUGCCCAAUCGUGGGGGAUAACGUAGCGAAAGUUACGCUAAUACCGCAUAAGCCCUGAGGGGGAAAGUGGGGGACCGCAAGGCCUCACGCGAAUGGAGCGGCCGAUGUCAGAUUAGCUAGUUGGUGGGGUAAAGGCCCACCAAGGCGACGAUCUGUAGCGGGUCUGAGAGGAUGAUCCGCCACACUGGAACUGAGACACGGUCCAGACUCCUACGGGAGGCAGCAGUGGGGAAUUUUGGACAAUGGGCGCAAGCCUGAUCCAGCCAUGCCGCGUGAGUGAAGAAGGCCU
rnacentral:rRNA from 1 species